rnacentral:rRNA from 1 species
AGUGAACGCUGGCGGUAGGCCUAACACAUGCAAGUCGAACGGCAGCACAGUAAGAUCUUGCUCUUACGGGUGGCGAGUGGCGGACGGGUGAGGAAUGCAUCGGAAUCUACUUUUUCGUGGGGGAUAACGUAGGGAAACUUACGCUAAUACCGCAUACUCUCCUCGGCGGAAAGCCGGGGAUCUUCGCACCUUUCGCGACUGAAUGAGCCGAUGUGGGAUUAGCUAGUUGGGAGGGUAAAGGCCCACCAAGCCAAGGAUUCGUAGCUGGUCUGAGAGGAUGAUCAGCCACACUAGAACUGAGACACGGUCCAGACGCCUACGGGAGGCAGCAGUGGGGAAUAUUAGACAAUGGGCGCAAGCCUGAUCCAGCCAUACCGCGUGGGUGAAGAAGGCCUUCGGGUUGUAAAGCCCGUUUGUUGGGAAAGAAAGGCAGCAGGUUAAUACCCCGCUGUUCUGACGGUACCCAAAGAAUAAGCACCGGCUAACUUCGUG